UCGAGCGGUCCAGGGCUUCGGCCCUGGAUAGCGGCGGACGGGUGAGUAACACGUGGNUAACCUGCCCUGUCGCCUGGGAUAACAGGCCGAAAGGCCUGCUAAUACCGGAUAAGCUCACGGCCCCGCAUGGGGCUGGGAGAAAAGGCGCUGAUGAGGCGUCACGACAGGAGGGGUCCGCGGCCCAUCAGCUGGUUGGUGGGGUAACGGCCCACCAAGGCGACGACGGGUAGCCGGCCUGAGAGGGCGACCGGCCACACUGGGACUGAGACACGGCCCAGACUCCUACGGGAGGCAGCAGUCGGGAAUAUUGCACAAUGGGCGAAAGCCUGAUGCAGCGACGCCGCGUGGGGGAAGAAGGCCUUCGGGUUGUAAAUCCCUGUUGUCCGGGAAGAAGGGCCUCAUCAGGGAAUGGGUGAGGAAUGACGGUACCGGACGAGGAAGCCCCGGCAAACUACGUGCCAGCAGCCGCGGUAAUACGUAGGGGGCGAGCGUUGUCCGGAUUUACUGGGCGUAAAGGGCGUGUAGGCGGCCUGCGAAGUCGGGGGUGAAAGACCGCAGCUCAACUGCGGGGAUGCCUUCGAAACUGGCGGGCUUGAGUGCUCCAGAGGGCAGUGGAAUUCCCGGUGUAGCAGUGAAAUGCGUAGAGAUCGGGAGGAACACCAGUGGCGAAGGCGGCUGCCUGGGGAGUAACUGACGCUGANGCGCGAAAGCUGGGGGANCAAACAGGAUUAGAUACCCUGGUAGUCCCAGCCGUAAACGAUGAGCGCUAGGUGUGGGGAGGUAUGACCCCUUCCGUGCCGGAGCCAACGCACGAAGCGCUCCGCCUGGGGANUACGGCCGCNNNGNUGAAACUCAAAGGAAUUGACGGGGGCCCGCACAAGCNG
rnacentral:rRNA from 1 species